GGCUACUGUGUGUAGGUGCAAAUGGUUUGAGGUCUUAGGCAUUCGGGGAAUGGGUUGUUGAAUCUUCAACGUUGCCAUCAGAUCCGACCGAGUAUCAUCUAGUGACAAUGCAGAUUCAGCCAGGCACAAAGACGGCAACGACAACCUUUCUCGGAGCUAUUGCGGAUGAUGAUUUUGGCAAGGGAAUGACUCUAACAUGGGAUGUUGAUUUUGGACUCGCACGACUUGGCGAUUGCUUCCAGAGAAACGUCAAC